GUGUCAGCAGCCGCGGUAAUACAGAGGGCUCAAGCGUUAAUCGGAAUCACUGGGCUUAAAGGGUGCGCAGGCGGACCCGUCAGUGUCUUGUGAAAUCCCACGGCUCAACCGUGGAACUGCAGGGCAUACUGCGGGUCUUGAACCCGGCAGGGGCAAUCGGAACUCUAGGUGGAGCGGUGAAAUGCGUAGAUAUCUAGAGGAACGCCAAAGGCGAAGGCAGAUUGCUGGGCCGGUGUUGACGCUCAGGCACGAAAGCGUGGGGAGCGAACGGGAUUAGAUACCCCGGUAGUCCACGCCCUAAACGAUGUGUACUAGAUCGAGGUGGUUUUGACGCCGUCUCGGUCGGAGCAAAAGUAUUAAGUACACCGCCUGGGGAGUACGGUCGCAAGGCUAAAACUCAAAGGAAUUGACGGGG
rnacentral:rRNA from 1 species